CUAUGAGGGUCACAAAGCACUGGCACAGGCUGCCCAGGGAGGUUGUGGAAUCUCCUUCUCUGGAGACUUUCAAGGCCUGUCUGGAUGAGUUCUGUGAUCUGUGCUAGAUUGUAUGGUCCUGCUCUGGCAGGGGGGUUGGACUCAACGAUCUCCUUGGGUCCGUUCCAACCCUAAUAACCUGUGAUCUUGUGAAGGUGGUGCAGUCUCAAAUAGUGUGUAAACAUGGCAUUUUGGGACAUGUUUUAAUGGCCAUGGUGGUGUUGGGUCAAUGGUUGGACUCAAUGAUCUCAGAGGUCUUUUCCAACCAAAACAGCUCUGUGGCUCCAUAAAGCUGUGAACUGGAACAUGGCUUUACUAAAGGUACAGGAAGAGCCAAAGUAAGUUUUUGUUAACUGUGAGAGGGUUAGAACACAGUGGAUUUAUUUUUAAAGGAUAUAUAUAUGUGUAUACACACAUCCUCCUAAUUCUAGCACAUUUCUAGCACUUUGGUUUUGUUUGUAGCAAAUGUUUCCACCAACAUUAGGAGAUGGCUCCCUACCAGUGGUCCAUUACCUGCAUACAACCAGCACUGUGGUAAUUCAUAGACUCACAGAAUCAGUCAGGGCUGGAAGGGACCACAAGGAUCAGCCAGUUCCAACCCCCCUGCCAUGGGCAGGGACACCUCAUACUUGAUCAGGCUGGCCACAGCCUCAUCCAGCCUGGCCUUAAACACUUCCAGCGAUGAGGCUUUGACCACCUCCCUGAGCAACCUGUUCAGGGUCUCACCACCCUCAUGUUGAAGAACUUCCUAACAUCAAGAACUUGUUCCUAACAUCAUAAUUCAGUGUAUUGAUAAAGAAAACAACAACCAAAUAACAAAGGUGAUCUGAAAGCCCUUCUGCUGGCUUGGCUGCCACCAGGAGUCACAUUGCAGAUGUGCUGAGCUCACAUUCCCUUGGUUUUGAUGUGCUAGAAACACCUGCCUUGGGGUACCAGAAAUACCAUGGGAGCCAUUUAACUCUUCCCUGAAGGCUUUCCCCCCUGAUUGUAGCUUCUUAAGAUGCAAUGAGUAAUAUGUUGGAGAAUGUAAUUAAAGUGUUUUUCAAUCAUUCCUGACAACUCUUCUAAUGCAGGAUAAAGCUCCAUAGCGUCUGUGGUUGUACUUCAACCUGACGAAAGCCCUGGAUGGAAACUUCUACAGUAGGUAGUGUUUACUCUGGCAGUGUGUCAGCAGACAAUGUCUACUGCUUUUAUUGCUCUGUGGAAUCGAAGGUUUGAAUUUUGCUCCGUCCUGAACCAUUUAUUGUCUUGAAAUUGGCAGCAGCAACACCCAGCUGGAAGCUGGCGUGGUUUGUGUUUGCGAACAGGCUGAUCCAUGGGAAACAAUUGAGCAGACAAACCAACUUCUUCAGGAAUUGAACCCAAUCUGUGCUUGGGCGUGAGGCAUUGGAGCCUGAGGCAGCUAUUAUUUGGGAAAAGGCCCAUAAAAGGACUUUUUAAGGCAUGGACUUUGUGAGUCUUAAGGAUGAUAUUCUUAGGCUGCCUUUAGUUCUGCCUCCCUUUUGCGUAACCCAGUGGACUUUUAUAACAAAACCUUCCACGUAAGGGGGGCUGGGGUCCAAAGCUCUGAGCUGGAAGUCAGAACAGAGCUUGGUGUCUGGCCAAGCCAUUGAGCUGCUUAUGCUGUUCUUCUGCCUCCCACCUUUUUUUUUUCUCUCUGUCCCUGGGACAGGAACUGCCAUUUCCUAUCUGUUCCCCUACUGCACAGGACUGAGAAAUUCCUCCCUGUAAGCAAAAGAGAGAGGCAGAAAGAUACCCGGCAAUAGCUGAGUGCUCAGCACCCAAAACAAGCACAGCACAAAGACAUUCUUCUGUAUGCUGAGAUACCCAGUCCCACCAACUCUCACAAUCCUGUGAAUGUCAUGGGAUCUGAUGUUUGCUUAAUUCUCUGCCUGAUGGUAAUCGAGGAACCACAUGAUAAUCUCAGCUUCACUAACAUCGCAGUUCCAUUUCCAGCUCUGUGGGUGCUGAGAAAAUGUGAAGCGAGACAGCCUUAAAUCCUGGAGAUACACAAAAUCAUCUGAUGGUCAGUCUGACCCUUUAUUCACUCCUCCUAGGUCAGCAUGCCUAAUGGCUCUUGGCAGCUUCUUAAACACAGCCACACAAGGAUUGAUUUGUUGUGAAAUGUCCGGUAACAGUCUUUGCUCUCACCUAAGUCAACCACUUUUAGGUUGGGUUUCUUUUCCCCCUCAUUUAUAGGUCCAAAAGUGUGGGGUGGUGGAGUUCCCAUCCCUGGAGGGAUUUUAAAGAGAUGUGCUGAGAGACAAGGUUUAGUGGUGACUUGGUGCUGCUGGGUUAAUUGUUGGACUUGAUUUUAAAGGUCUCUUCCAACCAAAACGACUCAAGGAUUCCUCUUCUGAUCUCUUUUGGACCACAGACUCUUCUGGACAGAUCUUUUUUUAGCAUACCCAACCCACCUUUGUAACCAAUCUCUGUUUACUUUAUACAUCCCUUGGAGCAGGGACUGGGAUUCAUUUUUUCCCUGUCCCAGGCUGGUCCAGAGGAGAUGUGACAAAGGGAGGAAGAAGACACCAAGUAUCCUCCCAGCUGUGCAUAGGCCACGUGCCAGCGACCUACAGCCUGGACAACCAUAGAGCUUUAAGAUGUUGCCUUUAACCAUCUUUCAGAGUUUGAAUGCUUGAUAUUUUCAGGAAGAAAUGUGAGAAAGAAAGAAAAACAGAAUAGUUUCCGAUCACCAAAUAUUUGGGUGAACUGGGGAACAAAGUGCCAGUGGAGUCCUGUCUGGGCUCUCCUCUUUGCUUGGAUCCUCUCCCACAUCAGGAGGUGAAGGCAGUCAUUUCUCGGGGUGACUACGCACUUCCAGGAAUGAUUCCUGGCAGAAAUUUGGAGGCAGGACUUCACAUAAAAUAACUGGAGUGCCCUGGAAUUCAUCUUCCUCCUCAAAACCUCUUCUCAAGGCUUGUUCCUGCUGUGGCAUAGAGAAGUUGACGACACUGGAACGGUCUUGUGUUACUGAGACACAGAGGGGUAGCUGAAGACUAUGAUAAAUCUUCUGUGAGCAAUCUCCUCCUUGUGAUGGACACAGAUCUCAGCUUUCCAUGCAUCAUGCAGUCCAGUUCUCUAAUCAUCUGUGUGGCCCUCUGCUGAACCUGCUCCAAUUUGCAAAUUCACCCCUGCUG